GACGAACCGUGCAAACGUUGUUCGGAAUCACUGGGCUUAAAGGGCGCGUAGGCGGUCGACCAAGUCCGGGGGUGAAAUCUUUCGGCUUAACCGGAAAAGUGCCUUGGAUACUGGCCGGCUGGAGGGAGGUAGGGGCAGGUGGAACUUCCAGUGGAGCGGUGAAAUGCGUUGAUAUUGGAAGGAACGCCGGUGGCGAAAGCGACCUGCUGGACCUCUUCUGACGCUGAGGCGCGAAAGCUAGGGGAGCAAACGGG
rnacentral:rRNA from 1 species